GGUUGUGGCAUUUUACAAAUUCCUAAAGAAAAAUGCAUCAAUCCCUUUUAAGCUACAGAAGCCAGUUUCAAGUCCAAAAGGUGAGAGUUCUGAAGGAAAAUCUGGUGAUGAUGCAAAAGAUAAAGAGAGCCCAAAGAGCAGCAGCAGCACUGACUUAAAGGAUGAAUUGUGAAGACUUACUGUAGUUUUGUAAGUUAUGCAUCUUUUAUUUCCCUUUUUUGUUGCUUGCAGAUAUAUGUAGACGAU
rnacentral:misc_RNA from 1 species